UCAAAAGGAGUUUUAAGGGGGCAGAGUUUGUCCUGAGACAGCUGAGGGGAGAAACCAAACAGCUGUGGUCAGAGAGCCAACAGCUAAAGAUGAGACUUCUGGGUUUUAGAUGCAAAAUGGGACUUUGACUCCAGGCUGUUGUACCAGCUGGAGCUGAUGUUGUCAGGGGUGAGGAUUAUAAGAAACUAAGAACAGAGUUAGCAUGAAGAAUGAAGGUCAUUUCAAGAAGAAAAGGUGCUGAUCCCAAGAGCAAGAGCUAUCAGAAGUGUCAGAAGCUAGGCACCUUUUGACCUCUACAUUACAUUUGAAACAAGAGCAUCACAGCAUGGAGGCAUGUGGCUUCCCCGGGCCCAGCGGAGUGAGCCAGUAUACACUACUCGAGGUCCAUGAUGAGAUGAGAUUUGAAAGAAAUGUUUUACCUUUCUACAAAUUACCACCAUCAUCUCUUUUGUCAAGAAAUGAACAUGAAUGUCACCUUGGAUUCACAGAGAGCGUCUAACCUCCUCAUCAGCUGCUAAGUACCUAGCAAUACUGUUUAUGUUUACUUAAAAAAAAAUAGCCUUUAAGAUGUAUUGUUUCUUUUGUCAAUUGGGGUGGGGAGUGUGGAGGUAGAAGGGAAACCAAACUUAGGCUUCUGAAGUUUAUGUAGAAGGGAAACCAAACUUAGGCUUCUGAAGUUUAUGUAGAAGGAAAGCAGAAGGAGAAUUCAUCCACUCUCCUCUGAUUUGUGUUAGUUUGUUUACAUGUAUGCGCACCCCUCUGUUCAUAGCAGCACUGUUGACAAUAGCCAAGUCAUGGGAACAGCCUAAAUGUCCAUGACAGAUGAAAAGAUAAAGAUGUGGUACAUAGAUACAGUGCAAUACUGCUCAGUCAUAAAAAAGAGCAAAAGAAUGCCAUUUGCAGCAACGUGGCUGCAACUAGAGGUUAUCAUAUGAAGGGAAGCAAGUCAGAGAAAGACAAAUGCCAUAUGACAUCACUCACAUGUGAACCUAACAUAUGACACAAAUGAACCUAUCUGUGAAGCAGAAACAGAAUCGUGGACACGGAGAGCGGACUGGUAGUUGCCAAAGGGGAGGGUUUUGGGGGAGGGAUAAAAUGGGAGGUUGGGGUGAGCAGAUAUAAACUUGUGUAUAUAGAAUGGAUAAAUAACAAGGUUCUACUGUAAAAUACAGAUAACUAUAUUCAAUAUCCUAUAAUAAACCAUAAU